AAAUUGAAGAGUUUGAUCAUGGCUCAGAUUGAACGCUGGCGGCAGGCCUAACACAUGCAAGUCGAGCGGUAGCACAGAGAGCUUGCUCUCGGGUGACGAGCGGCGGACGGGUGAGUAAUGUCUGGGAAACUGCCUGAUGGAGGGGGAUAACUACUGGAAACGGUAGCUAAUACCGCAUAAUGUCGCAAGACCAAAGUGGGGGACCUUCGGGCCUCAUGCCAUCAGAUGUGCCCAGAUGGGAUUAGCUUGUAGGUGGGGUAACGGCUCACCUAGGCGACGAUCCCUAGCUGGUCUGAGAGGAUGACCAGCCACACUGGAACUGAGACACGGUCCAGACUCCUACGGGAGGCAGCAGUGGGGAAUAUUGCACAAUGGGCGCAAGCCUGAUGCAGCCAUGCCGCGUGUGUGAAGAAGGCCUUCGGGUUGUAAAGCACUUUCAGCGGGGAGGAAGGCGGUGAGGUUAAUAACCUCAUCGAUUGACGUUACCCGCAGAAGAAGCACCGGCUAACUCCGUGCCAGCAGCCGCGGUAAUACGGAGGGUGCAAGCGUUAAUCGGAAUUACUGGGCGUAAAGCGCACGCAGGCGGUCUGUCAAGUCGGAUGUGAAAUCCCCGGGCUCAACCUGGGAACUGCAUUCGAAACUGGCAGGCUAGAGUCUUGUAGAGGGGGGUAGAAUUCCGGUGUAGCGGUGAAAUGCGUAGAGAUCUGGAGGAAUACCGGUGGCGAAGGCGGCCCCCCUGGACAAAGACUGACGCUCAGGUGCGAAAGCGUGGGGAGCAAACAGGAUUAGAUACCCUGGUAGUCCACGCCGUAAACGAUGUCGAUUUGGAGGUUGUGCCCUUGAGGCGUGGCUUCCGGAGCUAACGCGUUAAAUCGACCGCCUGGGGAGUACGGCCGCAAGGUUAAAACUCAAAUGAAUUGACGGGGGCCCGCACAAGCGGUGGAGCAUGUGGUUUAAUUCGAUGCAACGCGAAGAACCUUACCUGGUCUUGACAUCCACAGAACUUAGCAGAGAUGCUUUGGUGCCUUCGGGAACUGUGAGACAGGUGCUGCAUGGCUGUCGUCAGCUCGUGUUGUGAAAUGUUGGGUUAAGUCCCGCAACGAGCGCAACCCUUAUCCUUUGUUGCCAGCGGUCCGGCCGGGAACUCAAAGGAGACUGCCAGUGAUAAACUGGAGGAAGGUGGGGAUGACGUCAAGUCAUCAUGGCCCUUACGACCAGGGCUACACACGUGCUACAAUGGCAUAUACAAAGAGAAGCGACCUCGCGAGAGCAAGCGGACCUCAUAAAGUAUGUCGUAGUCCGGAUUGGAGUCUGCAACUCGACUCCAUGAAGUCGGAAUCGCUAGUAAUCGUAGAUCAGAAUGCUACGGUGAAUACGUUCCCGGGCCUUGUACACACCGCCCGUCACACCAUGGGAGUGGGUUGCAAAAGAAGUAGGUAGCUUAACCUUCGGGAGGGCGCUUACCACUUUGUGAUUCAUGACUGGGGUGAAGUCGUAACAAGGUAACCGUAGGGGAACCUGCGGUUGGAUCACCUCCUUA
rnacentral:rRNA from 1 species